GGGUUGUGAGGUUAAGCGACUAAGCGUACACGGUGGAUGCCCUGGCAGUCAGAGGCGAUGAAGGACGUGCUAAUCUGCGAUAAGCGUCGGUGAGGUGAUAUGAACCGUUAUAACCGGCGAUUUCCGAAUGGGGAAACCCAGUGUGAUUCGUCACACUAUCAUUAACUGAAUCCAUAGGUUAAUGAGGCGAACCGGGGGAACUGAAACAUCUAAGUACCCCGAGGAAAAGAAAUCAACCGAGAUUCCCCCAGUAGCGGCGAGCGAACGGGGAGCAGCCCAGAGCCUGAAUCAGUGUGUGUGUUAGUGGAAGCGUCUGGAAAGGCGCGCGAUACAGGGUGACAGCCCCGUACACAAAAAUGCACAUACUGUGAGCUCGAUGAGUAGGGCGGGACACGUGGUAUCCUGUCUGAAUAUGGGGGGACCAUCCUCCAAGGCUAAAUACUCCUGACUGACCGAUAGUGAACCAGUACCGUGAGGGAAAGGCGAAAAGAACCCCGGCGAGGGGAGUGAAAAAGAACCUGAAACCGUGUACGUACAAGCAGUGGGAGCACGCUUCGGCGUGUGACUGCGUACCUUUUGUAUAAUGGGUCAGCGACUUAUAUUCUGUAGCAAGGUUAACCGAAUAGGGGAGCCGAAGGGAAACCGAGUCUUAACUGGGCGUUAAGUUGCAGGGUAUAGACCCGAAACCCGGUGAUCUAGCCAUGGGCAGGUUGAAGGUUGGGUAACACUAACUGGAGGACCGAACCGACUAAUGUUGAAAAAUUAGCGGAUGACUUGUGGCUGGGGGUGAAAGGCCAAUCAAACCGGGAGAUAGCUGGUUCUCCCCGAAAGCUAUUUAGGUAGCGCCUCGUGAAUUCAUCUCCGGGGGUAGAGCACUGUUUCGGCAAGGGGGUCAUCCCGACUUACCAACCCGAUGCAAACUGCGAAUACCGGAGAAUGUUAUCACGGGAGACACACGGCGGGUGCUAACGUCCGUCGUGAAGAGGGAAACAACCCAGACCGCCAGCUAAGGUCCCAAAGUCAUGGUUAAGUGGGAAACGAUGUGGGAAGGCCCAGACAGCCAGGAUGUUGGCUUAGAAGCAGCCAUCAUUUAAAGAAAGCGUAAUAGCUCACUGGUCGAGUCGGCCUGCGCGGAAGAUGUAACGGGGCUAAACCAUGCACCGAAGCUGCGGCAGCGACACUAUGUGUUGUUGGGUAGGGGAGCGUUCUGUAAGCCUGCGAAGGUGUACUGUGAGGUAUGCUGGAGGUAUCAGAAGUGCGAAUGCUGACAUAAGUAACGAUAAAGCGGGUGAAAAGCCCGCUCGCCGGAAGACCAAGGGUUCCUGUCCAACGUUAAUCGGGGCAGGGUGAGUCGACCCCUAAGGCGAGGCCGAAAGGCGUAGUCGAUGGGAAACAGGUUAAUAUUCCUGUACUUGGUGUUACUGCGAAGGGGGGACGGAGAAGGCUAUGUUGGCCGGGCGACGGUUGUCCCGGUUUAAGCGUGUAGGCUGAUUUUCCAGGCAAAUCCGGAGAAUCAAGGCUGAGGCGUGAUGACGAGGCACUACGGUGCUGAAGCAACAAAUGCCCUGCUUCCAGGAAAAGCCUCUAAGCAUCAGGUAACAUCAAAUCGUACCCCAAACCGACACAGGUGGUCAGGUAGAGAAUACCAAGGCGCUUGAGAGAACUCGGGUGAAGGAACUAGGCAAAAUGGUGCCGUAACUUCGGGAGAAGGCACGCUGAUACGUAGGUGAAGUCCCUCGCGGAUGGAGCUGAAAUCAGUCGAAGAUACCAGCUGGCUGCAACUGUUUAUUAAAAACACAGCACUGUGCAAACACGAAAGUGGACGUAUACGGUGUGACGCCUGCCCGGUGCCGGAAGGUUAAUUGAUGGGGUCAGCGCAAGCGAAGCUCUUGAUCGAAGCCCCGGUAAACGGCGGCCGUAACUAUAACGGUCCUAAGGUAGCGAAAUUCCUUGUCGGGUAAGUUCCGACCUGCACGAAUGGCGUAAUGAUGGCCAGGCUGUCUCCACCCGAGACUCAGUGAAAUUGAACUCGCUGUGAAGAUGCAGUGUACCCGCGGCAAGACGGAAAGACCCCGUGAACCUUUACUAUAGCUUGACACUGAACAUUGAGCCUUGAUGUGUAGGAUAGGUGGGAGGCUUUGAAGUGUGGACGCCAGUCUGCAUGGAGCCGGCCUUGAAAUACCACCCUUUAAUGUUUGAUGUUCUAACGUAGACCCGUGAUCCGGGUUGCGGACAGUGUCUGGUGGGUAGUUUGACUGGGGCGGUCUCCUCCUAAAGAGUAACGGAGGAGCACGAAGGUUGGCUAAUCCUGGUCGGACAUCAGGAGGUUAGUGCAAUGGCAUAAGCCAGCUUGACUGCGAGCGUGACGGCGCGAGCAGGUGCGAAAGCAGGUCAUAGUGAUCCGGUGGUUCUGAAUGGAAGGGCCAUCGCUCAACGGAUAAAAGGUACUCCGGGGAUAACAGGCUGAUACCGCCCAAGAGUUCAUAUCGACGGCGGUGUUUGGCACCUCGAUGUCGGCUCAUCACAUCCUGGGGCUGAAGUAGGUCCCAAGGGUAUGGCUGUUCGCCAUUUAAAGUGGUACGCGAGCUGGGUUUAGAACGUCGUGAGACAGUUCGGUCCCUAUCUGCCGUGGGCGCUGGAGAACUGAGGGGGGCUGCUCCUAGUACGAGAGGACCGGAGUGGACGCAUCACUGGUGUUCGGGUUGUCAUGCCAAUGGCACUGCCCGGUAGCUAAAUGCGGAAGAGAUAAGUGCUGAAAGCAUCUAAGCACGAAACUUGCCCCGAGAUGAGUUCUCCCUGACCCUUUAAGGGUCCUGAAGGAACGUUGAAGACGACGACGUUGAUAGGCCGGGUGUGUAAGCGCAGCGAUGCGUUGAGCUAACCGGUACUAAUGAACCGUGAGGCUUAACCUUACAACGCCGAAG
rnacentral:rRNA from 1 species